rfam:Jeotgalibacillus soli Cunha et al. 2012 strain P9 contig00009, whole genome shotgun sequence.
AACACCUAAGACAACGAAAGCCCUACCUCUCUUUCGUCCUUACGGCUCCUCGACCGUGCCAGUGUGAAUCAGACAUUACUACAAUAA